AAUACGGAGGAUCCAAGCGUUAUCCGGAUUUAUUGGGUUUAAAGGGUGCGUAGGCGGCCUGUUAAGUCAGGGGUGAAAGACGGUGGCUCAACCAUCGCAGUGCCCUUGAUACUGAUGGGCUUGAUUACAGUUGAGGUAGGCGGAAUGUGACAAGUAGCGGUGAAAUGCAUAGAUAUGUCACAGAACACCGAUUGCGAAGGCAGCUUACUAAAGUGUAAAUGACGCUGAGGCACGAAAGUGUGGGGAUCAAACA
rnacentral:rRNA from 1 species